ensembl:ncRNA F31F7.7 ncRNA
GCGUGCCGCAAAAAUCAUAUUCAGGAAGUCCUUGGUCGUUUUGACUGGAGUCACCACUAAUGUCAAUAAUCACUAAGCAAACUAUAGUACUUACAUAAGUGCGCAAAUUGUGCAGAAAGAGGAAGAGACAGUGAGAGCAUCUCUCUCUCUCUUCCAAAACUCCAGCAAUGAGCAGUUGCUCGUAGAAAGAAGAACUGGUCACAAGGCACCGGUCGGGAGACGCGGUGAAGUGGUUUGCCGGACGGAUGAAAUUGUCAGGAAGAAGGAAGAAAACGAUGAGA